UACGGAGGGUGCAAGCGUUAUCCGGAAUUACUGGGAUUAAAGGGUGCGUAGGCGGCUGUGUAAGUCAGAGGUGAAAUCCUGCAGCUUAACUGUAGGAUUGCAUUUGAUACUGCGUAGCUUGAAGCAAGUUGAGGAUAGCGGAAUGUGACAUGUAGCGGUGAAAUGCAUAGAUAUGUCAUAGAACACCAAUUGCGAAGGCAGCUGACUGGGCUUGAUUUGACGCUGAGGCACGAAAGCGUGGGGAGCGAACAGG
rnacentral:rRNA from 1 species